CCUACGGGAGGCAGCAGUGAGGAAUAUUGGUCAAUGGUCGGGAGACUGAACCAGCCAAGCCGCGUGAGGGAUGAAGGUACAGAGUAUCGUAAACCUCUUUUGUCAGGGAACAAAGGCGGGGACGUGUCCCCGGAUGAGUGUACCUGAAGAAAAAGCAUCGGCUAACUCCGUGCCAGCAGCCGCGGUAAUACGGAGGAUGCGAGCGUUAUCCGGAUUUAUUGGGUUUAAAGGGGUCGCAGGCGGUCUGUUAAGUCAGCGGUAAAAGCCCGGGGCUCAACCCCGGCCCGCCGUUGAAACUGGCAGUCUCGAGUUGGAGAGAAGUAUGCGGAAUGCGCGGUGUAGCGGUGAAAUGCAUAGAUAUCGCGCAGAACUCCGAUUGCGAAGGCAGCAUGCCGGCUCCAGACUGACGCUGAGGCACGAAAGCGUGGGUAUCGAACAGGAUUAGAUACCCCAGUAGUC
rnacentral:rRNA from 1 species